UGGUGGAGCGAUUUGUCUGGUCAAUUCCGAUAACGAACGAGACUCUAGCCUACUAAAUAGUUCGGGGACCCCCACAAAGGGGCCCCGCUUCAACCUCUUAGAGGGACAGGUGGCGUUUAGCCACACGAGGUUGAGCAAUAACA
rnacentral:rRNA from 1 species